rnacentral:rRNA from 1 species
CGGGAGGACUACCAUGCAGUCGGACGGUAGCACACGAGGAGCUUGCUCCUCGGGUGACGAGUGGCGGACGGGUGAGUAAUGUCUGGGGAUCUGCCCGAUAGAGGGGGAUAACCACUGGAAACGGUGGCUAAUACCGCAUAACGUCGCAAGACCAAAGAGGGGGACCUUCGGGCCUCUCACUAUCGGAUGAACCCAGAUGGGAUUAGCUAGUAGGCGGGGUAACGGCCCACCUAGGCGACGAUCCCUAGCUGGUCUGAGAGGAUGACCAGCCACACUGGAACUGAGACACGGUCCAGACUCCUACGGGAGGCAGCAGUGGGGAAUAUUGCACAAUGGGCGCAAGCCUGAUGCAGCCAUGCCGCGUGUAUGAAGAAGGCCUUCGGGUUGUAAAGUACUUUCAGCGGGGAGGAAGGCGAUGUGGUUAAUAACCGCAUUGAUUGACGUUACCCGCAGAAGAAGCACCGGCUAACUCCGUGCCAGCAGCCGCGGUAAUACGGAGGGUGCAAGCGUUAAUCGGAAUUACUGGGCGUAAAGCGCACGCAGGCGGUCUGUUAAGUCAGAUGUGAAAUCCCCGGGCUUAACCUGGGAACUGCAUUUGAAACUGGCAGGCUUGAGUCUCGUAGAGGGGGGUAGAAUUCCAGGUGUAGCGGUGAAAUGCGUAGAGAUCUGGAGGAAUACCGGUGGCGAAGGCGGCCCCCUGGACGAAGACUGACGCUCAGGUGCGAAAGCGUGGGGAGCAAACAGGAUUAGAUACCCUGGUAGUCCACGCCGUAAACGAUGUCGACUUGGAGGUUGUUCCCUUGAAGAGUGGCUUCCAGAGCUAACGCGUUAAGUCCACCGCCUGGAGAGUACGGCCGCAAGGUUAAAACUCAUAUGAAUUGACGGGGGCCCGCACAAGCGGUGGAACAUGUGGUUUAAUUCGAUGCAACGCGAAGAACCUUACCUACUCUUGACAUCCAGAGAAUUUAGCAGAGAUGCUUUAGUGCCUUCGGGAACUGUGAGACAGGUGCUGCAUGGCUGUCCUCAGCUCGUGUUGAGAAAUGUUGGGUUAAGUCCCGCAACGAGCGCAACCCUUAUCCUUUGUUGCCAGCGAUUCGGUCGGGAACUCAAAGGAAACUGCCGGUGAUAAACCGGAGGAAGGGGGGGAUGACGUCAAGUCAUCGGGCCCCUUACGAGUAGGGCUACCCACGUGCUACAUUGGCGCAAACAAAGAAAAACGACCUCCCGAGAACAGGCGGACCUCA